CCUUACCCACCUUUGACAUGGCAGGAACUUACCAGAGAUGGUUUGGUGCUCGAAAGAGAACCUGCACACAGGUGCUGCAUGGCUGUCGUCAGCUCGUGUCGUGAGAUGUUGGGUUAAGUCCCGCAACGAGCGCAACCCUUGCCAUUAGUUGCUACGAAAGGGCACUCUAAUGGGACUGCCGGUGACAAACCGGAGGAAGGUGGGGAUGACGUCAAGUCCUCAUGGCCCUUAUAGGUGGGGCUACACACGUCAUACAAUGGCUGGUACAAAGGGUCGCCAACCCGCGAGGGGGAGCCAAUCCCAUAAAGCCAGUCGUAGUCCGGAUCGCAGUCUGCAACUCGACUGCGUGAAGUCGGAAUCGCUAGUAAUCGUGGAUCAGAAUGUCACGGUGAAUACGUUCCCGGGUCUUGUACACACCGCCCGUCACACCAUGGGAGCGGGUCUCGCCAGAAGUAGGUAGCCUAACCGCAAGGAGGGCGCUUACCACGGCGGGGUUCGUGACUGGGGUGAAGUCGUAACAAGGUAAGCGUAGUGCU
rnacentral:rRNA from 1 species